rnacentral:rRNA from 1 species
CCUACGGGUGGCAGCAGUGGGGAAUAUUGGACAAUGGGCGCAAGCCUGACCCAGCAACGCCGCGUGAAGGAAGAAGGCUUUCGGGUUGUAAACUUCUUUUCUCAGGGAAGAAGCAAGUGACAGUACCUGAGGAAUCAGCCACGGCUAACUACGUGCCAGCAGCCGCGGGAAUACGGAGGUGGCAAGCGUUAUCCGGAUUUACUGGGUGUAAAGGGCGUGUAGGCGGGGAAGGAAGUCAGAUGUGAAAGCCACGGGCUCAACCUGUGGACUGCAUUUGAAACUGGGUUUCUUGAGUGCUGGAGAGGCAGACGGAAUUCCUAGUGUAGCGGUGAAAUGCGUAGAUAUCAGGAGGAACACCAGUGGCGAAGGCGGCCUGCUGGACAGCAACUGACGCUGAGGCGCGAAAGCGUGGGGAGCAAACAGGAUUAGAUACCCUUGUAGUC